rnacentral:rRNA from 1 species
UACGAAGGGGGCUAGCGUUGUUCGGAAUUACUGGGCGUAAAGCGUGCGCAGGCGGCUAUCCAAGUCAGUGGUGAAAGCUCGGAGCUCAACUCCGAUACGCAUCGAAAACUGCAAGGCUUGAGUGCAGAAGAGGAAAGUGGAAUUCCGCGUGUAGCAGUGAAAUGCGUAGAUAUGCGGAGGAACACCGAUGGCGAAGGCAAUCCCCUGGACCUGUACUGACGCUCAUGCACGAAAGCGUGGGGAGCAAACAGG